CAAUGGGCGAAAGCCUGAUGCAGCAACGCCGCGUGCGGGAAGAAGGCCUUAGGGUUGUAAACCGCUUUCAGCAGGGAAGAAAAUGACGGUACCUGUAGAAGAAGGUGCGGCCAACUACGUGCCAGCAGCCGCGGUGACACGUAGGCACCAAGCGUUGUCCGGAUUUAUUGGGCGUAAAGAGCUCGUAGGCGGUUCGGUAAGUCGGGUGUGAAAAACUCUGGGCUCAACCCAGAGCCGCCACCCGAUACUGCUGUGACUCGAGUGCGGUAGGGGAGCGGGGAACUCCUGGUGUAGCGGUGAAAUGCGCAGAUAUCAGGAAGAACACCAGUGGCGAAGGCGCCUCUCUGGGCCGUGACUGACGCUGAGGAGCGAAAGCGUGGGUAGCAAACAGGAUUAGAUACCCUGGUAGUCCACGCCGUAAACGUUGGGCACUAGGUGUGGGUCUCAACCAACGAGAUCCGCGCCGUCGCUAACGCAUUAAGUGCCCCGCCUGGGGAGUACGGUCGCAAGACUA
rnacentral:rRNA from 1 species